UGAACGCUGGCGGCGUGCCUAAUACAGGCAAGUCGAGCGAACAGAUGAGGAGCUUGCUCCUCUGACGUUAGCGGCGGACGGGUGAGUAACACGUGGAUAACCUACCUAUAAGACUGGGAUAACUUCGGGAAACCGGAGCUAAUACCGGAUAAUAUAUUGAACCGCAUGGUUCAAUAGUGAAAGACGGUUUUGCUGUCACUUAUAGAUGGAUCCGCGCCGCAUUAGCUAGUUGGUAAGGUAACGGCUUACCAAGGCAACGAUGCGUAGCCGACCUGAGAGGGUGAUCGGCCACACUGGAACUGAGACACGGUCCAGACUCCUACGGGAGGCAGCAGUAGGGAAUCUUCCGCAAUGGGCGAAAGCCUGACGGAGCAACGCCGCGUGAGUGAUGAAGGUCUUCGGAUCGUAAAACUCUGUUAUUAGGGAAGAACAAAUGUGUAAGUAACUAUGCACGUCUUGACGGUACCUAAUCAGAAAGCCACGGCUAACUACGUG
rnacentral:rRNA from 1 species